rnacentral:pre_miRNA from 1 species
GGGGGGAGGCCGGAUCCUUGGCUGUGUCCCAGGCGUCCUGUGCUCCGGGGCCUGUGCUGUAGGAAUCGCGGUCUGGCUGCGUAGCCCCUC